UUGGCUUGCUGAAGAGUGUGCCAUGCUGAAGCCUAGGAACUGAAGUUAUCUUGCAGGCUUCUGUGUAUAUUUUAGCAGGAUUCCUAAUAUUUGGCUGCAAAUUCAAACCAAGUUGUGACAUAUAGCCUUCCCUCCUUUGCAGCAGACUCUUUGGCUUUCUUAGCCCAGAACAGCACAACUGCCAAAGCACCAUUAUGUGCCCACUAUAGACUUCAAGAAUACUCACAAUUUUUCUCAUGACAAUGAAAGAUGUUUUACCACAUCUAAGUAUGCUGCUGGGGAAAUAGCCCACAGAGAUACAGGAAAUCUUUAUGAUGCAUGCAGACCUUCUCAAAUAAGAAGAAAACAACAACACAGAGAUACCCUCAAGGCCACCAUGAACAGGUGCCCAGGCACCUGAUUCUGUUUGCUGAAGUCUCUGCUUUCUACCAGUUACUCCUGUGUUCCUGCGCCCCAUGGAGAAAGAAUUCACUAGCAAGUGGUGAAGAGUUUCCUUAAAGACAGGAGAAACUUUCUUUCCCUUCCUUCUCUAUAUUGUGAAUCGGCUGACAAUAAAGUAGCGGCACUGGUUCAAGUAA